CCUACGGGAGGCAGCAGUGGGGAAUUGUUCACAAUGGGCGCAAGCCUGAUGACGCAACGCCGCGUGGGGGAUGAAGGUCUUCGGAUUGUAAACCCCUGUCGAAUGGGACGAAAGACUCUGGAGCUAAUCAUCCGGAGAGUGACGGUACCGUUAAAGGAAGCCACGGCUAACUCUGUGCCAGCAGCCGCGGUAAUACAGAGGUGGCAAGCGUUGUUCGGAAUUACUGGGCGUAAAGGGCGCGUAGGCGGCCUUCUAAGUCAGACGUGAAAUCCCCCGGCUUAACCUGGGAACUGCGUCAGAUACUGGGAGGCUAGAGUAUGGGAGAGGGAUGUAGAAUUCCAGGUGUAGCGGUGAAAUGCGUAGAUAUCUGGAGGAAUACCGGUGGCGAAGGCGGCAUCCUGGACCAUUACUGACGCUGAGGUGCGAAAGCUAGGGGAGCAAACGGGAUUAGAUACCCCGGUAGUCCUAGCCCUAAACGAUGAAUACUUGGUGUGGCGGGUAUCGAUCCCUGCCGUGCCGAAGCUAACGCAUUAAGUAUUCCGCCUGGGGAGUACGGUCGCAAGGCUGAAACUUAAAGGAAUUGACGG
rnacentral:rRNA from 1 species